UGCCAGCCGCCGCGGUAACACGGGGGGCGCAAGCGUUGCUCGGAAUCACUGGGCGUAAAGCGCACGCAGGCGGCUUGUUAAGCUAGAUGUGAAAGCCCCGGGCUCAACCUGGGAUGGUCAUUUAGAACUGGCAGACUAGAGUCUUGGAGAGGGGAGUGGAAUUCCAGGUGUAGCGGUGAAAUGCGUAGAUAUCUGGAGGAACAUCAGUGGCGAAGGCGGCUCACUGGCUCGAUACUGACGCUGAGGUGCGAAAGCGUGGGGAGCAAACAGGAUUAGAUA
rnacentral:rRNA from 1 species